rnacentral:lncRNA from 1 species
CAGGGACCCCAGCAGCACUUCCCUAGGGGAAAGGGACGUCUCUUCCCAGACAUCUGCUUUCGCUCUACGGUUUUGGUGCUUAACCUGUUUCUGGGACAAGCCUAUCCUCGACUUAUGUAAGCUCAGCCCCUCUUCUCUUCCAGGUUUCCAGAAUGCCUUUCCAGGCUAGAACCCAGGCUGUGAUCUGCUGGCCAGACACAACACAAAUUAAUCUCCUACAAGCCGGGAAUGAAGGAACAGCAUGUGAACCUGGUGCCCAUGAAGAUCAGAAGAGGAUGCUGGGCCUGGACUUGUGGAUGGUUAUGUGCUACCAUACUAGACUGGCUUUGGUCUCAAUCUCAUGCCAAUCCAGAUGCUGGGAUGUGGGAAGCCUAAGCUGACCUCAGAUUGAGAUCCUGAGUUCUCAGCUACCACACGGCAACUCACAACCAUCUGUAAUGGGAUCUGAUGCCCUCGUCUGCUGUGUCCGAAGAGAGCAGCAGUGUACUCACAUACAUAAAAUAAAGAAAUACAUCUUAAAAGCAAAACAACAACAACAAAACAAACAAACAAAAAAGAAAACCAGCUGCAGGAAGGAAGGCCCUAUUUUUGACAUGAAGGGACCCUGGAGGGUACAACAAUAAAAAGCAGUUCUCUACAGCCUGCAAAGACUGUCAUAGCCAAGCAGGUCCUCAGAAGGACUCAGCUCUGCGUUCCUGCAGUUUUCUGCCUGCUGGGAGCUUGCUCCUUCUCCACUAGCCAGCUACUGCUUCCAGGGUAAUUCGUUUCUGCCUCCACCCCCAGAGCCCUGCGACUCUAUGCUUCAAUACCUGCAAGAGCCAGGAAACCUGCUCCUACUGCUCCUGUCUGGCCCUGCAAAUUUGCUCUGCAAAGGACAGCUAUCAAUUGGCACCCCAAAGGCCCUGAGAACUUUUAGCUGUGACUUAGCCGAGCUAUAGCUUGGCUCUGGAGUAGCUGCCCGUUGUUACUGCUGCUCAUGGAAAAGUCAAACUUGUUUCGUCUAAAUCCCUUGUGGCCAUCUGUUUAAAAGUUGUUAAGAAAUCAGGUGUGGUGGAGCACACUUUUAAUCCCAGCACUCCAGAGGCAGAAGCAGGUGGGUCUCUGAGUUUGAGGCCAGUCUGGUCUAGAGUGAGUUCCAGGACAGCCAGGGCUACAAAGAGAAACCCUGCCUCCAAACCAAACCAAAAAAGUUGUUAAUCCUAAAUUGUUAAUAAAGUGCUUCCUCUUUGUACUGUUGGCUGCCUGCCCACUCCGUUCUUGGAGGGGGGAUGGACAAGAACCUAGACACCCACCAGUUGGCUUACAUGUUUUCCUCUAAGAUAGAAGUGGAAAAAUGAUGGUAUACUGUGGGUGAGUUAACAGCCGACCACCAGGAGUUCUGCCCCCUCUGAGUCUGAAUAGAAACAAAAGAUAAUAGCAAUUGAUAUGCACCUGUCUUUAAAUUACACUGAGGACAAGGCCAUCCUGGUCAUGGGCACUCAGGAUUCAUUUAAUUGGUAGAGUGUUUACUAGGCGGAAGUGGAAACUUUGCUUCUGUUGUUCCAAGUGAGCUCAGGCACCUGGGAUAUGAUGCUUGAGUCAGAUGUAGCAGCAACAAUCUCCCUGGCGGGCUCAUUUGAAGGCUAAGACCUGCAGGGAUCUCCUGAAACCUUCAGCUCUGAGGACCAAAGACCACGAUAAACACUGUUCACCGCAGUAUCAAGCACAGACUAAGAUGGCAGAAAUAAUCUAUAC